AUGGCUCAGAUUGAACGCUGGCGGCAUGCCUUACACAUGCAAGUCGAACGGUAGAGUAGCAAUACUCGAGAGUGGCGAACGGGUGAGUAAUAUAUCGGAACGUGCCCAGUCGUGGGGGAUAACGUAGAGAAAUUUACGCUAAUACCGCAUACGAUCUACGGAUGAAAGCGGGGGAUCGCAAGACCUCGCGCGAUUGGAGCGGCUGAUAUCAGAUUAGGUUGUUGGUGAGGUAAAAGCUCACCAAGCCGACGAUCUGUAGCUGGUUUGAGAGAACGACCAGCCACACUGGGACUGAGAUACGGCCCAGACUCCUACGGGAGGCAGCAGUGGGGAAUUUUGGACAAUGGGCGAAAGCCUGAUCCAGCAAUGCCGCGUGCAGGAAGAAGGCCUUCGGGUUGUAAACUGCUUUUGUACGGAACGAAACGGUCCUUUCUAAUAAAGAGGGCUAAUGACGGUACCGUAAGAAUAAGCACCGGCUAACUACGUGCCAGCAGCCGCGGUAAUACGUAGGGUG
rnacentral:rRNA from 1 species